CAGGUGUGAGGAUAAAGAAUUCGUCGUUGAUUCAACUUCCCAUAUCAGUGAGUGAAAAAUCUCGAAGCAAUACAGAUACAGAUGAGAUGCUUGGCAUUUGAACAAAAGAAGUUGAUUUUUACUUUCUAAUUUGUCACUUGUUUUCUUGCUUUACACAGACACCAAAGAGACAUCUCAGCUCUAUAAAGUCAGCUCUGAAAACACAAAGGUUAAAAACUACGAUUUGUGGUUUAAGAUACAAGAAUGUUUUCUCUUCAGAUUGACUGGGAAGACUUUCUCUUCAGACGGACAGAACUUAUAAAACCUCCAUCUCAAAUGUCAGACCACCUGGGAUAUGCAGCUGUCAGGCUGAAAGGGGAGCUGCCUGGGACUGGCCCCGGCCUGCUCAUCAAGGAGAUACUGUCACUAGCCAGCAGGCAAUACUAGGUGCACAGGGGUGACAGCACCACCAGACGCCAGAGACAUGCCUGGCUCAGGAUUUGAGACUUUAAGGAAAAAAAUAAAGAACUGAGCUGAAACUAUGGAGAUCUCUGC
rnacentral:lncRNA from 1 species